rnacentral:tRNA from 1 species
GCCGCGGUAGUCGAUGGUGAAAAUGUUGUAGCCCUCGGCAGGCAGCCAGGCGACGUUGAGCAGGUGGCUGCUGAUGUUCUGGGCGUUGCCGUGGAG